AGUGCUGAUUGAUUGCAGCUGCUUGCUGCCGCCGGAGUGACGCGUGCAGGAAAUGAGCGGCCGUGGACGUGUCCCGAGGUGAGCUCCGCGGGGCUCAUUGAUGAGUGCGCAUUGGCAUGCGCCCGGGCCGUGACAGGAGAGGCAGUACGCACACUGGGCUGAAUGCUUCUCCCAGCACUGAUCCCACACGGGGCAACGAUGCCAGGACAAGGACUCUUCACCAUGUUGUCAACGUACGCGUUGACGCCUAAAGCGUAACACACGCCUUGUUCUCCUAUGUUGACCAGCAUCACAACAUCCCCAAAGUGUAACUCCCCAUCCAUGGUGACGGUCAGGUCCACCUGCACAUGGACAAACAGACUCAGGAUGUGGUGCUUGAGGAAGUCAACUUUCUGGGCAGCGAGCUCGCCCCUUUCCCUUUUGCUCAAGUAUUCUUUCCUCACAUCCUGUGGGCACAUCAAUAUUUAAGUGGCACUCAUGUUGUAAGCAAUGAUACAUACAGUAAUUAUACAUUAAAAAAUAAAGAAAUGCCACAGCAAA